rnacentral:rRNA from 1 species
GACGAACGCUGGCGGCGUGCUUAACACAUGCAAGUCGAACGGAAAGGCCCUGCUUUUGUGGGGUGCUCGAGUGGCGAACGGGUGAGUAACACGUGAGUAACCUGCCCUUGACUUUGGGAUAACUUCAGGAAACUGGGGCUAAUACCGGAUAGGAGCUCCUGCUGCAUGGUGGGGGUUGGAAAGUUUCGGCGGUUGGGGAUGGACUCGCAGCUUAUCCGCUUGUUGGUGGGGUAGUGGCUUACCAAGGCUUUGACGGGUAGCCGGCCUGAGAGGGUGACCGGCGACAUUGGGACUGCGAGACGGACCAGACGCCUACGGGAGGCAGCAGUGGGGAAUAUUGCACAAUGGGCGGAAGCCUGAUGCAGCAACGCCGCGUGCGGGAUGACGGCCUUCGGGUUGUAAACCGCUUUCGCCUGUGACGAAGCGUGAGUGACGGUAAUGGGUAAAGAAGCACCGGCUAACUACGUG